rnacentral:rRNA from 1 species
GACGAACGCUGGCGGCGUGCCUAAUACAUGCAAGUCGAACGCAGUGGGGACUGGUGAGUAACACGUGGGUAACCUCCCAUCAGAGGGGAUAACACUUGGAAAAAGGUGCUAAACCGAUAUUGAUGGAUGGACCCGCGGUGCAUUAGCUAGUUGGUGGGGUAAAGGCUCACCAAGGCCACGAUGCAUAGCACGCCGGGGAGUGUGAUAGGCCACACUGGGACUGAGACACGGCCCAGACUCCGACGGGAGGCAGCAGUGGGGAAGAUUGAACAAUGGUCGCAAGCCUGAUGCAGUCAUGCCGCGUGUAUGAAGAAGGCCUUAGGGUUGUAAAGUACUUUCAGCGGGGAGGCGUUACCCGCAGAAGAAGCACCGGCUAACUCCGUGCCAGCCGCCGCGGUAAUAC